AGCGAACGCUGGCGGCAGGCCUAACACAUGCAAGUCGAACGGAUCCUUCGGGAUUAGUCGCGGACGGGGGAGUAACACGUGGGAACGUGCCCAUUGGUUCGGAACAACUCAGGGAAACUUGAGCUAAUACCGGAUCUGCUCUUCGGGGGAAAGAUUUAUCGCCAUUGGAGGGGCCCGCGUCUGAUUAGCUAGUUGGGGAGCUAACGGCCCACGACGGCGCGGAUCAGUAGCUGGUCUGUGAGGCUGGUCAGCCACACUGGGGCUAAGACGCGGUCCGGAAUCUUACGCGAGGGGGGAGUGGCGGAUCUAGCGAAGUCGGCGAAGGGCUGAAGCAGCCAGGACGGGAAAAUGCUGAAGGUCGGAGGGAAGUAAAGUUCUUUCAGCGGGGACGGUAUUGACGGUACCCGCAGAAGAAGCACCGGCUAACUUCGUG
rnacentral:rRNA from 1 species